GUCCACGCUGUAAACGAUGGAUACUAGGUGUAGGAGGUAUCGACCCCUUCUGUGCCGGAGUUAACACAAUAAGUAUCCCACCUGGGGGAGUACGGCCGCAAGGUUGAAACUCAAAGGAAUUGACGGGGCCCGCACAAGCAGUGGAGUAUGUGGUUUAAUUCGAAGCAACGCGAAGAACCUUACCAGGACUUGACAUACCAUUGACGUAACUAGAGAUAGUUAUUUCCUUCGGGACAAUGGAUACAGGUGGUGCAUGGUUGUCGU
rnacentral:rRNA from 1 species